AAGGCCAGCAAGAGGCAGAGCCAGUCUGCUAGCAACACAGUCUUAUAAAGAGUUGUGUUGGGAGCUGUGACUAUGGACCUACAAGGUUGUAUUUCAUGUGGAUUUAGGUAUGAUGUGCUGUAGCAACAUGACGUCUUGAUUAGGUGCCUUGUGAGAACGUACUACUCUGAUCUGAGGCCAAUAACCAGUUGCCACAUUUAUUUUAAUGCUUUGGGGAAUGAAAAAAAAGAUGUCUUUUUUUCCCAUAUAAUAGCAUUGCAUUCUAGUCCAUUCUACAUGGAGCUAUUUGCUAUAAGAGUUCAAGUUUAUUUUUUUUUCC